CUUAUCUCCCCCAAUAGUUCACAUAGACGGGGAGGUUUGGCACCUCGAUGUCGGCUCGUCACAUCCUGGGGCUGGAGAAGGUCCCAAGGGUUCGGCUGUUCGCCGAUUAAAGUGGCACGUGAACUGGGUUCAGAACGUCGCAAGACAGUUCGGUCCCUAUCUGUGAUGGGCGUUAGAAAAUUGAGUGGACAUGACCUUAGUACGAGAGGACCGGGUCGUACGUACCGCUGGUGUAUCUGUUGUGCCGCCAGGUGCAAUGCAGAGUAGCUAUGUACGGAUCGGAUAAACGCUGAAAGCAUCUAAGCGUGAAACCAACCACAAGAUGAGUUUUCUUUUAAGGGUCGUCAAAGACUAUGACGUUGAUAGGCUACAGGUGUAAAGGUGGUAACAUCAAAGCCGAGUAGUACUAAUUGCCCGUAAGCUUUAUUUU
rnacentral:rRNA from 1 species